UGGCUCAGUUGGUAGAGCAUGGUGUUUGCAACGCCAGGGUUGUGGGUUCGACUCCCAC
rfam:Salmo salar isolate Sally breed double haploid chromosome ssa11, whole genome shotgun sequence.